rnacentral:rRNA from 1 species
AGCGAACGCUGGCGGCAGGCCUAACACAUGCAAGUCGAACGAAGUCUUCGGACUUAGUGGCGGACGGGUGAGUAACACGUGGGAACGUGCCCUUAGGUUCGGAAUAACUCAGGGAAACUUGUGCUAAUACCGAAUGUGCCCUUCGGGGGAAAGAUUUAUCGCCUUUAGAGCGGCCCGCGUCUGAUUAGCUAGUUGGUGAGGUAAAGGCUCACCAAGGCGACGAUCAGUAGCUGGUCUGAGAGGAUGAUCAGCCACAUUGGGACUGAGACACGGCCCAAACUCCUACGGGAGGCAGCAGUGGGGAAUCUUGCGCAAUGGGCGAAAGCCUGACGCAGCCAUGCCGCGUGAAUGAUGAAGGUCUUAGGAUUGUAAAAUUCUUUCACCGGGGACGAUAAUGACGGUACCCGGAGAAGAAGCCCCGGCUAACUUCGUGCCAGCAGCCGCCGUAACAU